ensembl:lncRNA
GUGGAGCCGGGGUUUUAAUUAUCCCUGCUUUGCCCGAGUUAGGAAUUCCCAAUGGUGCCGUCUGUGCGAAGAUGCCAAAAACCGCAUUGUUCUUUAAUUAGCUGUUGUAAUUGUUUUAGUCUAAUCUCCGUGAUUAGCAGCAGCAUUAAAUACAGCAGGAAGAAAAGGCCUGUCCUCUACGUACUGCCCCAAUAAACAGAGCCUUUCUCCCUUCUGGAGAGGGAUAUCAUAGAAAAUCAAUUAGAAUUCAACCAGUGUUGAUUGGAAAAUGAUAAAGACCAGCCACCAUGAAGCAGAGAUGGCUUUGAGGAGUCGGUUGAUGGCCCCCACGGCCAGCUUGCCUGGAGAGCUCUGCAGCCCUGACCUGCCACGGAGGUAUUUGGCUAGGACCCUCCGGAUGGCCCUGUCCCUCUCUGGGGAUGAGGAAAUGGACCGGAUUGGCACCAGCUGCUGUUUUGGCUUUAGGUUCUCUGUUUCAUGUAUUCAGCCACAAGCUUUGAUCAAGCCCCUCUUUUGUGUCAGACAUCAUGCCAGGGGCCUGGAGAUACAGCACUGAACAAGGCAGAGAUGGUCCCUGUCUACGUGGAGACUGUAGUCUACAGGAGGAGACUGAUGGUCAUCAAACACUUGCACAAGUGAUGGGUUCUUUUUAAAGUGUGAAAUGCUAUGAAGGGGAGUCAGGAUAGAGUUUAACAGGGAUAACUCAUCUGGUCAGUGAGUUGGCAGGGCUAGGAGGGUGUCCUAGAUAACUGAAGUAUAAACUGAGAUCCAGCGAGUGAAAAAGAGCAGGGCAAAGAGGCCAGAGUAGAGACAUAUAUGUCAUCAGGAACAGCACGUGCAAAGGUCCUGAGGCAGGCUGGAAUUCGAUUCUUUCUGCCCAUUGCAGGGGAGUAUGGUGGGAGCGAGCCAGAUUCUGGAUCUAAGCCCCUUGUUCAAACCCCAUCUCUGCUACUUUCUAACUGUGUGAAAUUCUUCAAAAGGCACUGCAGCAGUCUGUCUCAGUGUCCCAGGAUGUAAGAUGGAGAUGAUGAUGAUGACGAUAUUAUCUAGUUCAUGGGAAUGAAUUAAGUUUUGACUUGUCGGGUCUUCAGAGCACUGCCCGGCAGGUAGUGAGCUCACCCGGAGGUGUGAGCUGCCAGCAUUAAUCUGUUGGGGUAGCCUUCUCUUUGAAGUUUAACGAGAUAGGCUAAAAUCUAAAUCUGCCGUGUACAAGCCUUGUGACUUUGGCCUAGUUACCUAACCUUGCUGUCCCCGCUGUCUUAGGCGUGAAGCAAAAACAGAAUCAAGGAACUCAGAGUUGCCAUGUGAGUUAAGUAAGAUAUGUCAGGGGUUCUGUUCUGUUGUAAGCCAUUGUUUGGUGCUCAGAAAGCAGUGGCUAUUGUCAUUGUUCAUGAAACAUCUGCUUGGCAUGUGUUUGGCAUUGAAACUCAGUAACGAUAAGUUCCCUUCACUUCUUCUUCUUUCCUUCCCAUUGUUAGCAAGGCUGUGCUGUCCUCCCAAGUUCACAGAAAGGAUAGCUCCGCAGCAGGGUUUGCCAACCUUGGCACCAUAUCAUUUGGGGCUGGAUACGUCGUUUUUUGGGUGCAGGGGUUCCCAGGUACUAUAGGAUGUUUAGAAGCCUCUCUGGUCUGUACUGACUAGAUUCCAAUAGCACCCCAUCCCUGGAACCAGGAUAUCCACAAUGUCUAUGGACAUUGCCAUAUGUCCCCUACAGGGCAAAAUUGCCCCCAGUUGGGAACCACUGCUCUAAGGAGAACAAAACAGAUAGCUGGGUGUGGUGGCUCAUGUGUGUAAUCUGAUGUGGGUGGAUCACUUGAGGUCAGGAGUUGAGGACCAGCCUGUCCAACAUGGUGAAACCAUGUCUCUAUUAAAAAUACAAAAAGUAGCAGGGCGUGGUGGUGCGUUCCUGUAAUCCCAGCUACUUGGGAGCCUAAGGCAGGAGAAUUGCUUGAACCAAAGAGGUCAAGGCUGCAGUGAGCUAAGAUCACAUCACUGCACUCCAGCCUGAAUGACUAAAGUGAGACUGUAUCAAAAAAAAAAAAAAAAA